CGGGGGAGCAAGCGUUGUUCGGAUUUACUGGGCGUAAAGGGCGCGUAGGCGGCGCAACAAGUCACUUGUGAAAUCUCCGGGCUUAACCCGGAGCGGCCAAGUGAUACUGUCGUGCUAGAGUGCGGAAGGGGCUACUGGAAUUCUCGGUGUAGCGGUGAAAUGCGUAGAUAUCGAGAGGAACACCUGUGGCGAAGGCGGGUAGCUGGGCCGACACUGACGCUGAGGCGCGAAAGCUAGGGGAGCGAACGGGAUUAGAUACCCCGGUAGUCCUAGCCUUAAACGAUGGAUGCUUGGUGUCCGGGGUUACAUAGUCCCCGGGUGCCGUCGCUAACGCAUUAAGCAUCCCGCCUGGGGAGUACGGUCGCAAGACUG
rnacentral:rRNA from 1 species